rnacentral:rRNA from 1 species
AUUGAACGCUGGCGGCAGGCCUAACACAUGCAAGUCGAACGAGUGGCGGACGGGUGAGUAAUGUCUGGGAAACUGCCUGAUGGAGGGGGAUAACUACUGGAAACGGUAGCUAAUACCGCAUACCCUCGGAUGUGCCCAGAUGGGAUUAGCUAGUAGGUGGGGUAACGGCUCACCUAGGCGACGAGCCCCAACUGGUCUGAGAGGAUGACCAGCGACACUGGAACGUAGACACGGUCCAGACUCCUACGGGAGUCAGCAGUGGGGAAUAUUGCACAAUGGGCGCAAGCCUGAUGCAUCCAUGCCGCGUGUAUGAAGAAGGCCUUCGGGUUGUAAAGUACUUUCAGCGAGGAGGCGUUACCCGCAGAAGAAGCACCGGCUAACUCCGUGCCAGCAGCCGCGGUAAUUC